GUCCCCGUGGUUCAAUGGAUAGAAUAGGAGCCUUCUAAGCUCUUGAUCUAGGUUCAAUUCCUAGCGGGGACA
rfam:Candidatus Magasanikbacteria bacterium RIFCSPLOWO2_02_FTLL_44_11 rifcsplowo2_02_scaffold_7557, whole genome shotgun sequence.